rnacentral:rRNA from 1 species
UACAGAGGUCCCAAGCGUUGUUCGGAUUCAUUGGGCGUAAAGGGUGCGUAGGCGGCGCGGUAAGUCGGGUAUGAAAUCUCGGGGCUUAACUCCGAAACUGCAUUCGAUACUGCCGUGCUUGAGGACUGGAGAGGAGACUGGAAUUUACGGUGUAGCGGUGAAAUGCGUAGAUAUCGUAAGGAAGACCAGUGGCGAAGGCGGGUCUCUGGACAGUUCCUGACGCUGAGGCACGAAGGUCAGGGGAGCAAACAGG